GCCCGAGUGGCGGAAUGGCAUACGCGGACGGCUCAAACCCGUCUGUCUGAAGAAGACAUAGGGGUUCGACUCCCCUCUCGGGCA
rnacentral:tRNA from 1 species